CGAGUCGGCNAGGCGAUCGCUGGCAUGAUGANUUGUCAGAGGAAAGUCCGGGCUCCAUAGGACAAGGUGCCAGGUAACGCCUGGGGGGCGUGAGCCCAUGGANAGUGCAGCAGAGAGUAGACCGCCAUACAGUUUAUGNAUGGUAAGGGUGAAAGGGUGCGGUAAGAGCGCACCGCAGGCUUCUGGUAACAGACCUGGCUAGGUAAACCCCGCCUGGAGCAAGGCUAAAUAGGAAUCCAGUCGCGUGGUCCGCGCGGGAUUUGGGUAGGCUGCUAGAGACAUUCGGUGACGGAUGCCGUAGACGAAUGAUUGCCCAAGACAGAACCCGGCUUAUAGGCCGACUCAAUUU
rnacentral:RNase_P_RNA from 1 species